rnacentral:sRNA from 1 species
AAUGCUCCACACAGGUUUAAAAAACUUGAAUACGUGGCCAUCCAACUGAAUCAGUGAUGAAACACCAGCAGCUAUGGUUGAUAGGGAUAUCGGCAGUUAGCUGUAAAUUAGGUGU